rnacentral:lncRNA from 1 species
AGACCAUCCUAGCCAACAUGGUGAAACCCCGUCUCUACUAAAAGUACAAAAAAAUUAGCCGGGCGUGGUGGAGCAUGCCUGUAAUCCCAGCUACUCGGGAGGCAGAGCCAGGAGAAUCCCUUGAAUCAGGGAGUUGGAGGUUGCAGUGAGCCGAGAUCGCGCCACAGCACUCUAGCCUAGCGACAGAGCGAGACUCCGUCUCAAAAAAAAAAAAAAGAUUGUCUUCAUCCAAGCCAGUUUCCAUUUCUUGGACACACAUUGCUGGUCAGCCAAUCAGAUGCUGGUAUUGAGGUGAAAACAGAAACGAUUUCUGCCUCUGGAUUCUCUGAGAUUCGUGGGAAAAAUGGUAUCCCUAAAAAACAAAGCAAGACACAAAAACCUGACCCCGGUGAGAUGGUGCAAGAACUUGCAAAGUAAAAUGCACUUGGAAACUCCCUGGGACAUAGUGCAGUGUCUCCUGAGAGGUCAUAAAAGAGAGAUGGGGUUCUGUCAGGCCUCUGAGCCCAAGCCUGCACAUAUACAUCCAGAUGGCCUGAGGCAACUGAAGAACAAUGAAAGAAGUGAAAAUGGCCAGUUCCUGCCUUAACUGAUGACAAUCCACCAUUGUGAUUUGUUCCUACCCCACCCUGACUGAUCAAUUAACCUUGUGACAUUCCUUCUCCUGGACAAUGAGUCUCAGAAGCUCCCUUACCGAGCACCUUGUAAUCCCCCCCACCCCGCUGCCUGCAAGAGAAAAAUUCCCUUUGACUGUAAUUUUCCACUACCUACCCCAAUCCUAUAAAACUGCCCCACCCCUAUCUCCCUUUGCUGGCUCUGUUUUCAGACUCAGCCCACUUGCACCCAAGUGAAAUAAACAACCUUGUUCCUCACACAAAGCCUGUUGGUGGACUCUCUUCACACAGAUGUGUGUGUCAUUUGGUGCUGAAGACCUGGGACAGGGGGAAUCCUUUGGGAGACUGGUCCCCUGUACUCACCCUCACUCCAUGAGGAGAUCCACCCAUGACCUUUGGUCCUCAGACCAGCCCAAGGAACAUCUCACCAAUUUUAAGUCUGAAGAACCACAAAAGAAGUGAAAAUGUCCAGUUCCUGCCUUAAUUGAUGACAUUCCACCACUGUGAUUUGUUCCUGCCCCACUCUGACUGAUCAAUUAACCUUGUGACCUUCCUUCUCCUGGACAAUGAGUCUCAGAAGCUCCCCCACCAAGCACCUUGUAACCCCCGCCCCUGCCCACAAGAGAAAAACCCCCUUUGACUGUAGUUUUCCACUACCUACCCAAAUUCUAUAAAACUGCCCCACCCCUAUCUCCCUUUGCUGACUCUCUUUUCGGACUCAGCCCACUUGCACCCAAGUGAAAUAAAAAGCCUUGUUGCUCACAC